UGGGUUUUGAAUUUGCAGUAACAGGUGUGAGCAUUCUAGCAGCAGUUUGAUGAUCAUGUAUGAUACUGCAAACAGAAC
rnacentral:miRNA from 1 species